rnacentral:rRNA from 1 species
AUUGAACGCUGGCGGCAUGCCUUACACAUGCAAGUCGAACGGUAACAGGUCUUCGGAUGCUGACGAGUGGCGAACGGGUGAGUAAUACAUCGGAACGUGCCCGAUCGUGGGGGAUAACGGAGCGAAAGCUUUGCUAAUACCGCAUACGAUCUACGGAUGAAAUCAGGGGACCGCAAGGCCUUGCGCGGACGGAGCGGCCGAUGGCAGAUUAGGUAGUUGGUGGGAUAAAAGCUUACCAAGCCGACGAUCUGUAGCUGGUCUGAGAGGACGACCAGCCACACUGGGACUGAGACACGGCCCAGACUCCUACGGGAGGCAGCAGUGGGGAAUUUUGGACAAUGGGCGAAAGCCUGAUCCAGCCAUGCCGCGUGCAGGAUGAAGGCCUUCGGGUUGUAAACUGCUUUUGUACGGAACGAAAAGACUCUUUCUAAUAAAGAGGGUCCAUGACGGUACCGUAAGAAUAAGCACCGGCUAACUACGUG